GGAGGUGCCACAUGGGUCGGUGGAGUUUCAGAUUGCCCAGUCAAGCCUUCGGCGAUCUUGAAACUGUCGUGGCGGCAACGUCACCGUGGGUUCAAAUCCCACAGCCUCCG
rnacentral:tRNA from 1 species